CAGCCUUCUGUUUCUCUCGUCUGGUCAGCGGAAAUCAUUUUUUGUCCAAAGAUGCAAAGAUCAUAGCAUAGCUUCUACUUCAAAAGCGGGAUUUGAAGGUGUGGAAGACAGCCUUUGCAGUGCUGGUUGUAUCCUGCAAAUUUGGAAGUGUAUAAUAUCCCUGUCUCGCUCCCUUGCAAGUAUAAUGGCAGAAUCAAUUAUCAGCUUUGCUGUGCAAAGGAUAACUGAUUUGCUUAUACAAGAAGCAUUAUUCUUGAAUGGGGUGAGUGAUGAAGUUCAGGAUAUUCAGACUGAGCUCCGGCGAAUGCAAUGCUUCUUGAAAGAUGCAGAUUCAAGACUAAAUGAGGAUGAGAGUGUGCAUAACUGGGUGUCCGAAAUCAGAGAUCUUGCUUAUGAAGCAGAGGAUGUGAUUGAGCACUUUGCUCUAAAAGUGGCAUCCAGGAGGAGAGAAGGUACCAUAUAUAUGUUCAAAAGGUUUCUUUGCAUGCUAGAUGAAGGAUUGACAUCCUAUAAUUUUGGGUGCAAGAUUAGGACUCUUACUGCCAAGAUUUCUAACCUGACAAGAAGCUUGGAAACUUAUGGCAUAAGAGAUCUGAGGAAUACUGGAAGCUCGAGCAUUGUGUACCCAAGGCAACAACUAAGGCGUUCAUACUCUCAUGCCAUUGAACGUCAUAUUAUUAGGCGAGAGGAAAGCAUUAAACAAUUGGUGGAAUAUUUAGUGAAAGAGAAGAAAUCCUGCCAAUUUGUUUCUGUAUGGGGUAUGGGUGGUCUAGGAAAGACCACCCUUGCUAAGGACAUUUACCAUCACAAUGAAGUCCGGAGUCAUUUUGAUUACUUUGCUUGGUCAUGCAUAUCCCAGCAAUGUCAAGCAAGAGAUGCUUGGGAAGGAAUUCUAUUUAAACUCAUCUCCCCCUCUUUAGAGGAAAGGGAGGAAAUUGUAAAACUAAGGGAUGAAGAGCUAGCACGAAAAUUAUAUAAAAUCCUACAAGAGAAGAAAUGUUUGGUGAUACUUGAUGACAUUUGGACCAAAAAGGCCUGGGACAGCCUAAAGGCCGCAUUCCCAGUUGAAGAGACAAACAGUAAAAUAUUGCUCACAACUCGCAACAAAGAUGUAGCGUUGCACAUCGAUCCUACAGGGUUUGUUUAUAACCUGCAAUGUCUAAAUGAUGAAGAGAGUUGGAAUCUACUUCGGCGUAUAGCAAUCCCUCAGAAAGAUGGUAUAGACUUGAGGACUAGUACAAGAAUGGAGGAGCUAGGGAAAAACAUGGUUCAACAUUGUUUAGGAUUGCCUUUGGCCAUCACUGUGUUGGGAGGACUUUUGGCCACCAAAUCUACAGUAGAAGAGUGGCGUGUCAUACAUAAAAAUAUUAAAUCGUACAUUAGAAGAGGGAAAGUUGAUGGGCAAGACCCAGGAGUUUUGGAUGUGUUAGCUUUAAGUUAUGAUGAUUUACCAGCCCAGUUAAAACCAUGCUUUCUCUAUUUAGGUCAUUUUCCAGAAGAUUAUGAGAUACCUGUGGUCAAAUUGAUUCAGAUGUGGAUGGCAGAAGGAUUCAUCCCUUUGGGGCAGCUUGGAGGUGAUGGUGAGGAAUCAGCGGAGGAGGUAGCAGAGCGGCACUUAAAUGAGCUGGUGGAGAGGUGCAUGAUUCAAGUGGGAGAAACAGACGCAAGUCUAAGAGUUAGAACUUGCCGCAUGCAUGAUCUUAUGAGAAAUGUUUGCUUGAUGAAAGCAAAAGAGGAAAAUUUUCUCCAUAUCAUUAAUCACUGGGAUAAAAAUGAUGAUGCUCAUAAUUUUUCAUCCUUGUCAAAUUGUAAAAUUCGAAGGCUUGCUGUACAUCUGAACAGAGAUGUACGUGAAUUUGAUCCUCGAAAAUGCAUUGGAAAGCCUCACAGUCUAAGAUCUCUUUUAUACUUCAACGAAUUUGGGGAUAGAUUUUGGCAGAGACAUUGGAAAUUAGUUUCAGGUAUGGUUUACAAUUUGGAACUGCUUAGAGUGCUAGAUCUUGAAGGAGCUAUUAUUGGUGGGGGGAAGUUGUCGAUGGAUAUUGGUAACCUCAUCUGCUUGAGAUUCUUCAGUUUAAAAGAUUCGAAGGUGUCAAAGUUACCAUCGACUAUAGGUAAUUUGGAGACAUUGCAAACAUUAGAUUUACGUUCAAACAGAAAAGUGUACAUACCCAAUGUGGUCCAGAAGAUGAAACAAUUGAGACAUCUUUAUCUCCCAUCGCAUCUUCACAUAAAAACCAAGUUAAAGUUGGCUAAUUUGAGAAACUUGCGAACACUGGUGAAUUUUCAAGCAGAAAACUGCCAUAUGGAAGAUCUGUUCAGUAUGACUAAUCUUAGGGAGUUAAGCAUUGUCUAUCUGCACCCUAUGCAUUCUAAGCAAACCUUAGAACUUCCAAAUGCCGCUAUGAAACAUCUUCAAUCCUUGUCCAUUAUUGAUUAUGAUUUUAGGCAAACAAAUGUAAGUUUAUUAUUAUCAUCCUUUGUUGAUCUAUGUGCAUUGAAGUUACGUGGGAAGAUGGCGAAGCUUCCAAAUUACCGAGAAUUCCCUUCAAACAUUUCCUACUUAUAUUUACAUCGCUGCCAACUUGUAGAAGAUCCAAUGCCAACUAUAGGGAAGCUGCCAAACUUGAGGGUCCUUGGGAUUUGUGGAAAUGCAUUUGAUGGAAAGGAAAUGGUUUGCUCUGAAGAAGAUUUUCCUCAACUGCAUUCACUACUUCUUGAAGAACAACUCAAGUUAGAGGCAUGGAGGGUAGAUGAAGGAGCAAUGCCCAAUCUAUGCCAGUUGACUAUUUCAGAUUGCUGGAACUUGAAGUCAUAUCCAGAUGGAUUGAGGUUUGUUACAUCUCUUCAAAAGCUGGAGAUUAUAUCAAUGCCAAAGUCUUUCAAAGAUAAAAUGAUAGAAGGAGGAGAGGAUUUCUACAAAGUCCAGCAUGUGCCUUCCAUCAUAUUUCUGCAGUCUACCUCAAAAGCGAAACUGAUUUUCAGGUACGAAGUGCGUGACCAUAAAAGUAAGAGCAAGGUCUUACAGAUAGUCUGUUCCAUUUCAGGGGUUGAUUCAGUAACAUUUGACCCAAAAAUGGAAACUUUGACAGUAACGGGAGACGUGAAUUCUGAAGAUGUACUCAAAGCAGUGAGAAAGUUACUUCACAUCGACCUUGUUUUAAUUUGGCCCUAGAGAUUUCAGUUUGUCUUCAACGAGAUCGACAGUCUUAAGAGGAUGAUCUCAAACAUUUGCUUUCAGCAUGUUAUAAGGGAAUGUAAAACUCAGUUGCGUGAUCUCUUGCUAGGCAAGGUGUUACCAGAAGCUCUGAAUUCACUGCAUGGCUUUGAUUUUUGUAUUGUUUUCUUUCUCUUGUUGAGAGGCUUCAUGUGGUUUGCUAGCAUACAGCCUUCAGAAAUUGUGUGGUGGACACGGAUGAAAUGGCACUCUACAUGUUGACAUUUGUUUCUCACAAUCUGAAGAAUCCUUUAAGCUUUAUCCUUCUUCUGCAAUCUGCAGUUUAUGUUCAAGUUUUUGGAUUCGAAGUUUGGGACUAUGUCUGCUGGUGUGCUUUCUACUCUGUUUUGUGGGUGUGGUCUCUUUGAUACUCAAGUGUACUUUGGUUUGUAUUAUUUUUUCACUUGACAUAAUUAAUUAUAAGUUUGGGUGUUUUGAGAAUGGUCUAUUGACCAAGGUUUUAGUCUGACAAAUUAUUUUUAGUUUUUCCUGACUUCAAAUUAAUAAAAAUAAGCUGAUUUAUUAUUUAAAGAAAAA
rnacentral:misc_RNA from 1 species